rnacentral:rRNA from 1 species
UCUGAGUGUCACUUGAAUGUCAAUCACCCGGGGGACCAGCCCCGCUGUGCUGCUGGGCCCAUUGCAGCAACCCUGGUCCCCUCGUUCCCCUAAGGUAAGACCCCGAUUAGCAUCAUUGCAGGAUCCCUGGCCCUGGCGCGGAGGCUUGUUGGCACCGAGCCAGGCACCUGGCGUUCCACGUUGGUGGUGGUUGGCGGCAGCCUAGAAACUGCACGGGACGACCCUGAAAGGCAGGCCUUGCGAACAUGUCCAGCAGGCAACCUCUCUUAAGGUGGUCUUUGGUGCAGAUUGGGACAGCGCACACUCAGCCGCGCUGGUGGCACAGGGCUGGAGCAGCCCCCUCUCCCUGAAGGCUGGACUCCCGCUGAAUUUAAGCAUAUUACUAAGCAGAGGAAAAGAAACUAGCCAGGAUUCCCUCAGUGCCCGUGAAUGAAGAGAGAAGAGUCCAAAUACAAAUCCCCAUCAUAACUUUGAAGAGAGAGUUCAAGAGGGCAUGAAACUGUGUGUCCACUUUCAGCAGGUUUGCCUUGUCUGUGGGUUUGAAGGAGAUUGGCCACUGCCGCACCCUCCUCUGGCAACCGUCCCGGCCCCUCUCUGGCACCGUGGGGGCAGUGGCUGGGGACAGAGCCCCCAGCUCCCGGUGUGACACUUCGACUGGGAUGGACUGUCCUCAGUCUACCGUGACUGCGUCACAACACUGGAUGGGGAGGCCCCCGGAGGCCACCAGGGGUCUACAGUGAUGCUGGUUACCCACCCAACCCGUCUUGAAACAUGGACUAGUGAGUCUAACACUUGCGCGAGUCAGAGAGAGCCGAACAAAACCCUGUGGCACAAUGAAGGAUGAAGGCCGACAUGGGCUGGCAGAGGUGGGAUCCUGUUGUGGAGUUGUGGCAGGUCCACCACCAGUCCGUCUCGUCCCCUCUGUCAAGGAGUUGGAGCAUGAGCAUGUGUGAUAGGACCUGAAUGAUGGUGAACUAUGCCUGGGCAGGGAGACGCCAGAGGAAACUCUGGUGACGGUCCGUAGCAGUCUUGACGUGCAAAUCGGUCGUCUGACCUGGGUAUAGGGAUGAAAGACUAAUCAAACUACCUAGUAGCUUGUUUUCUCCAAACUUUCCCUCAGCAAAGCUGGCACUAGAAAACCCCAGUUUUAUCUGGUAAAGUGAAUAAUCAGAGGUCUUGGCACGAAACAAUCUGAACAUAUUCUCAAACUUUAAAUUGGUAAGUAGCCCGGCUCGCUGGCGUGGAGCUGGGCAUCGAAUGCGAGUGCCCAGGGGCCACUUUUGGUAAGCAGAACUGUUGCUGUGGGAUGAACAAAAUGGCGGGUCAAGGCACCCGAUGCCGAUGCUCAUCAGACCCCAGAAAAGGUGUUGGUUAAUAUAGAGAGCAGGACGGCGGCCAUGUAUGUUGUUAUCCACUAAGGAGUGUGUAACCACUCACCUGCCAAAUCUACUAGUCCUGGAAAUGGAUGGCGCUGGAGCGUCAGGCCCAUACCCAGCCAUCACCAGCACUGAGAGCUGCGGUGGCUAAGCCAUGACGACUAGGAAGGCCAUUGCAGUGUGUAUGGAAGUCGGGGAUGAGGGACCUGGUGGAGCUGCCGCAGGUACAGAUCUUGGUGGUAGUAGCAAAAAUGCAAAGGAGAACUUUGAAGGCCAAAGUGGAGAAGGGUUCCAUGUGAACAGCAGUCAGUCAAUCCUAAGAGAUGGGCGAACGCUGUUCGGAAGGAAACGGUGUUGGCCUCUACUGCCCUCAGCCAAUCGAAACUGAGUCUGGUUCAGAUCCCGAACCCAGAGUGGCAUAGACGGGUGCCCUUGUGACAACCAGUGUGGUAAUGCAAACGAUCCUGGAGAAGCCAGCGGAAGCCCUCGGGAGAGUUCUCUUUUCUUUGUGAAGGACAGGGCACCCUGGAAUGGGUUUGCCCAGAGAGAGGGCCCGAACCUUGGAAAGGGUUGUGGUUCUGGCAUCCGGUGAGCUCUCACUGGUCCUUGAAAAUCCAGGGGAGAUGGCGUUAAUCUCACGCUGGGCCAUACACAUAUUCUCAGCAGGGCUCCUAGGUGAACAGCCUCUGGGAUGUUGGAAGAAUAUAGGUAAAGGAAGUCGGCAAGUCAGAUCCGUAACUUUGCGAUAAGGAUUGGCUCUAAGGGCUGGGGCAGUUGGCCUGAUGCGGGAAGCUGAGCUGUGAACGUGCCGUGGCCGGCCAAUUCUUUUCACUUUUGGCAGGGUGGUGGGUGACUCUAGAUGCGAGCCGAGCCCUUCCUGUGGAUUACCCCAGCUGCAGUGGCCGCCUCUCUCCCUUCCCCCCUAGAAGCUGAAUCAGAACUAGUGCAGACCAGGGGAAUCUGAUGUUUUAAUUAAAACAGAGCAUCUGCGAGUGCUCUGUAUAUCAAAGUGAAGAAAUUCAAUGAAGUGCAGGUAAACGGCAGCAGUAACUAUGACUCUCUUAAGGUAGCCAAAUUGUGCAUGAGUGGAUGAACAAGAUUCCACUGCUCACUACCUACUAUCUAACAAAACCACAGCCAAAGGAAAUGGCUUGAAGAAGACCCUGUUGAGCUCGACUCUAGUCUGGCACUAUGAAGAGACAUGAGUGGUGUUGGAUACGUGGGAUGCCCUCUGGCCACUGGUGAAAUACCACUACUCUUAUUGUUUUUUCACCUUCUCAGUAAGGCUGGGGCGAUCCCCAUGGGGGAUCUUGCUUCUGGGUCCAUGCACCCAGUCCUCCGUGGCAUGACCCGCGGAGCAUAAGGGCAAAAGUUCGCUUCAUCUCAAUUUUCUGUAUUAAUUCAGACUGUGAAAGUGGGGCCUUACGAUCCUUCAGAUUUUUUAGGUUUCAAGCAGGAGGUGUCAGAAAGGUUACUACAUGGAUGCUGGCCAAGCGUUCAUAGCGAUGUUUUUUGAUUCUUCGAUGUCGGCUUUUCCUAUAAUUGUGAAGCAGAAUUCGCCAAGCGUUUGAUUGUUCACGCACUAAGAGGGAACUUGAGCUGGCUUUUGACCAUUGUGAGACAAGUUAGUUUUACCUUACUGAUGAUUUUGUGUUGCAAUAGUAAUCCUGCUUAGUACUAGAGGAACCACAGGUGCAUAUAUUUGGUGUAUGUGCUUGGCUGAAGAGUCAAUGGGGCGAAGCUUCCAUCUGUGGGGUUAUGACUCCAAGUCAAAAUCCCCCCCCAAACCAUAAAGAUACUGCAAUGCUGUGGAGCCGCGGUUAGCCUAGGAUACCUGGCCUAUGGGCCAGUGCGUAGAGCCACUUGCCUAGGACUUGAGUGUGGACAAAAGGGGGCCAACUCUCUUGCCCAUAUUGCACUGCAUGUUCAUG